UGAAUCUCAAUGAGUUCUUAUUUUUCUGUCCUCAGUCUGCUUUCAGGUUACGUCCUUUGCUGUUGAUAUAUGUCAGAUUGAUAUUGUGGGCAAUCAGAACAGUCCUGCUAUGACUCCUCCAGUCCUCAGCUACUAUGGUUUGCAGAACCAAGGAGCAACAUGUUAUUUAAACAGUGUGCUGCAGAUACUGUUCAUGACCAAGGAGUUCAGAGAGACCAUGAAAAGACUCACUCUUCAAAAUCCUGACACUCAGUGUCUUGAUCACCAUCUUACAAACUUGUUUAAAGACUUAGAGAAACACACAGCAGGCACC